GACGAACGCUGGCGGCGUGCUUAACACAUGCAAGUCGAACGGAAAGGCCCUUCGGGGUACUCGAGUGGCGAACGGGUGAGUAACACGUGGGUGAUCUGCCCUGCACUUUGGGAUAAGCCUGGGAAACUGGGUCUAAUACCGAAUAGGACCACGCGCUUCAUGGUGUGUGGUGGAAAGCUUUUGCGGUGUGGGAUGGGCCCGCGGCCUAUCAGCUUGUUGGUGGGGUAAUGGCCUACCAAGGCGACGACGGGUAGCCGGCCUGAGAGGGUGACCGGCCACACUGGGACUGAGAUACGGCCCAGACUCCUACGGGAGGCAGCAGUGGGGAAUAUUACACAAUGGGCGCAAGCCUGAUGCAGCGACGCCGCGUGAGGGAUGACGGCCUUCGGGUUGUAAACCUCUUUCACCAGGGACGAAGCGUAAGUGACGGUACCUGGAGAAGAAGCACCGGCCAACUACGUG
rnacentral:rRNA from 1 species